UGCCUAAUACAUGCAAGUCGAGCGAACAGACAAGGAGCUUGCUCCUUUGACGUUAGCGGCGGACGGGUGAGUAACACGUGGAUAACCUACCUAUAAGACUGGGAUAACUUCGGGAAACCGGAGCUAAUACCGGAUAAUAUAUUGAACCGCAUGGUUCAAUAGUGAAAGACGGUUUUGCUGUCACUUAUAGAUGGAUCCGCGCCGCAUUAGCUAGUUGGUAAGGUAACGGCUUACCAAGGCAACGAUGCGUAGCCGACCUGAGAGGGUGAUCGGCCACACUGGAACUGAGACACGGUCCAGACUCAUACGGGAGGCAGCAGUAGGGAAUCUUCCGCAAUGCGCGAAAGCCUGACGCAGCAACGCCGCGUGAGUGAUGAAGGUCUUCGGAUCGUAAAACUCUGUCAUUAGGGAAGAACAAAUGUGUAAGUAACUGUGCACGUCUUGACAGUACCUGAUCACAAAGCCACGGCUAACUACGUGCCAGCAGCCGAGGUAAUACGUAGGUGGCAAGCGUUAUCCGGAAUUAUUGAGCGUAAAGCGAGCAUACGCGGUUUUUUAAGUCUGAUGUGAAAGCACACGGCUCAACCGUGGAGGGUCACUGGAAACUGGAAAACUUGAGAGCAGAAGAGGAAAGUGGAAUUCAAUGUGUAGCGAUGAAAUGCGCAGAGAUAUGGAGCAACACCAGCGGCGAAGACGACUUUCUGGUCUGUAACUCACGCUGAUGUGCGAAAGCGUGGGGAUCAAACAGGAUUAGAUACCCUAGUAGUACACGCCGUAAACGAUGAGCGCUAAGUGUGAGGGGGGUUCCGCCCCUUAGUGCUGCAGCGAACGCAUUAAGCACUCCGCCUGGGGAGUACGACCGCAAGGGUGAAACUCAAAGGAAUUGACGGGGACCCGCAAAAGCGGUGGAGCAUGUGGUAAAACUCGAAGCAACGAGAAGAACCUUACCAAAUCUUGACAUCCUCUGACCGCUAUAAAGAUAGAGUUUUCCCCUUCGGGGGACAGAGUCACAGGUGGCGCAGGGUUGUCGUCAGCUCAUGUCGUGAAAUGUUGGGUUAACUCCCGCAACCAGACCGC
rnacentral:rRNA from 1 species